CAGUCGCCGCGGGAAUACGAAGGGGGCGAGCGUUGCUCGGAAUGACUGGGCGUAAAGGGCGCGUAGGUGGCGUGCACAGUCAGAUGUGAAAUUCCUGGGCUCAACCUGGGGGCUGCAUUUGAUACGUGCGUGCUAGAGUGUGGAAGAGGGUCGUGGAAUUCCCAGUGUAGAGGUGAAAUUCGUAGGUAUUGGGAAGGACACCGGUGGCGAAGGCGGCGACCUGGUCCAUAACUGACGCUGAGGCGCGAAAGCGUGGGGAGCAAACAGGAUUAGAUACCCCUGUAGUCCCUGUCUCUUAUAA
rnacentral:rRNA from 1 species